CGCAGCCGCGGUAAUUCCAGCUCCAAUAGCGUAUAUUAAAGUUGUUGCAGUUAAAAGGCUCGUAGUUGAAUUUCGGGAUCAAUUGAUUGGUCAUGCCUUGGUAUGUACUGGUCAUAUUGGUUCUCACCUUCUAAUGAACCAUAAUGUCAUUUAUUUGAUGUUAUGGGGAAUUAGGACUGUUACCUUGAAAAAAUUAGAGUGUUUAAAGCAGGCUUACGCUUGAAUACAUUAGCAUGGAAUAAUGAAAUAGGACAUCGUAUUCUAUUUUGUUGGUUUCUAGGAUCGAUGUAAUGAUUAAUAGGGAUAGUUGGGGGCAUUAGUAUUCAAUUGUCAGAGGUGAAAUUCUUGGAUUUAUUGAAGACUAACUACUGCGAAAGCAUUUGCCAAGGAUGUUUUCAUUAAUCAAGAACGAAAGUUAGGGGAUCGAAGACGAUCAGAUACCGUCGUAGUCUUAACCAUAAACUAUGCCGACUAGGGACCGGAUGAUGUUAAUUUUUAAUGACUCAUUUGGCGCCUUAAC
rnacentral:rRNA from 1 species